GGCGUAGGCGGAAUAGUAAGUCAGUGGUGAAAUCCUUCGGCUCAACCGUAGAACUGCCAUUGAUACUGCUAAUCUUGAGUAUAGUUGAGGUGGGCGGAAUGUGUAAUGUAGCGGUGAAAUGCAUAGAUAUUACACAGAACACCGAUUGCGAAGGCAGCUCACUAAACUAUUACUGACGCUGAGGCACGAAAGCGUGGGGAGCGAACAGGAUUAGAUACCCUGGUAGUCC
rnacentral:rRNA from 1 species